CUAACAAGGAUUCCCCUAGUAACGGCGAGUGAAGCGGGAAGAGCUCAAAUUUGAAAUCUGGUGGCCUCAGGUCAUCCGAGUUGUAAUCUAUAGAAGUGUUUUCCGUGCUGGCUCAUGUACAAGUCCCUUGGAACAGGGCGUCAUAGAGGGUGAGAAUCCCGUCCUUGACAUGAACUACCAGUGCUCUGUGAUACAUUUUCAACGAGUCGAGUUGUUUGGGAAUGCAGCUCAAAAUGGGUGGUAAAUUCCAUCUAAAGCUAAAUAUUGGCGAGAGACCGAUAGCGAACAAGUACCGUGAGGGAAAGAUGAAAAGCACUUUGGAAAGAGAGUUAAACAGUAUGUGAAAUUGUUGAAAGGGAAACGAUUGAAGUCAGUCGUGCUCUUUGGAUUCAGCCGGUUCUGCCGGUGUACUUCCUUUGAGUGGGGUCAACAUCAGUUUUGAUCGCUGGAUAAAGGCUGGAGGAACGUAGUACCCUCGGGUAAACUUAUAGCCUCCUGUCACAUACAGUGGUUGGGACUGAGGAACGCAGCACGCCUUUAUGGCCGGGAUUCGUCCACGUACGUGCUUAGGAUGUUGACAUAAUGG
rnacentral:rRNA from 1 species